GGUAUUGAAAUAAGAUUUUAAAUGAGUGCUAAGAGAAUGAUUAAACAAUUAAAAGCUUUCUUUAAUUAAAAAAUUAAAUUUAAUUUUUUUAGUGCAAAAGCAAAAAUAAAAUUUAGGGACAAGAAGACCCUAUGAAUUUUUAUUGUUAAUAAUUAAAAUUUAAGUUAUUAAUAAUUUAAUUGGGGCGAUAAAAAAAGAAUAAGUAUCUUUUUAGUUAUAAAAUAAGUUCCGUUUUUAGCGAUUAAAUGAAAUAAAUACUCUAGGGAUAACAGCGUAAUAAUUUUGGAUAGUUCAUAUAGAUAAAAUAGUUUGCGACCUCGAUGUUGGAUUAGGAUUC
rnacentral:rRNA from 1 species